CAGGACGCCAUUGGAAAGAAACAUUGGUGAUUUUACCAAGGCUUUGACUGGAAUGUCAUAUUUGAGAGAGACAAGCGUAGACUAAGAUAUGGCCAGACAGCUUAAAGGAACUAAGGUUGACUUUAUGAAACCCAGAGCCAUAAAGACCCUUGGAACUGUGGGCCUGAUACCUUGCUUACAGAGUUCCCAGCAGCCUCACCAGGAGACCAGGAAGCAAACUACCGUGCCUUGUUAUUCCUGUGAACCAGUGGAAGACCUCAGUUUUCUCUUCAAAGGACAACAAAGAAAAUUUCAGUGAACUACCGAAAGUCUCUUUAUUGAGGUUCCUCUUUCUCAUAUUAACCUUAUUUUGUUGUCUUUUCUGGUGUCUCCCUGCCUGCUGCUAAGACUCCUUCACUGUCAUAAUCUCCAGCUGACGGAGGGUUCUUUUUUUUUUUUAAGUUUUUUUAUUUAUUUAUGUGACAGAGAGAGAAAUCGCAAGUAGAUAGAAGUAGGCAGAGACGCAGGCAGAGAGAGAGGGGGAUGCAGGCUCCCUGCUGAGCAGAGAGCCUGAUGUGGGGCUCAAUCCCAGGGCUCUGGAAUUGUGACCUGAGCCAAAGGCAGAAGCCAUCCAGGUGCCCCCAGAGGGUUCUUUCUACUCAAGAAUGGGUAUUAUUGUGGUAACCUAAUGAGAUUUUUAGUCUGCAUGCCAUAUGCUAAUAUCCCUAUGUUAGAUACCUUGGAUCAGCUGCCUCUGCCUUUGGUAAUUCCUGUAUAUGAAUUCCCCAACUGACCAACCAACGUUGACCCAUAGGUGGGGACAGCUCUACACCCCUAUUCAGCAGGAAGAAGUUCCAGAAGCUAAGACCUUCCACCCUCAUCAAUCUUAAAGACUUAAGAGUCCAAUUGUUCAGAGGGGUAUGAUGUGGG
rnacentral:lncRNA from 1 species